rfam:Plasmodium coatneyi strain Hackeri chromosome 8, complete sequence.
UAAGAACAUAAUAGAAGGGCAAAUCCGCCGAAAUUAAGAAUAUAAAUUAAGCGGAAGAAAAGAAAAUAACAAUGAUUCCUUUAGUAACGGCGAGUGAACAAGGAAUAGCUCAAAAAGGAAAAUCCCAUCGUUUGUGCAAGCUUACAUUGGGAAUUGUCUUGUUGGGUAAUUUUCCAAAUGAAUGUUUUAGCAGUUAAAGUGAAGCGAGGUGGAAUGCCUCUCCCAAAGAGGGUGAAAGGCCCGUAGUUUUAUUGCUUUUAAUUCUUUUGGAAUUUUACUUAUAGAGUCGUGUUCUUUGAGAUUGGAGCACAAAUGUGUGUGAUACAUUUCACAUAAAGCUAAAUAUGUGUAGGAGACCGAUAGCAAACAAGUACCGUGAGGGAAAGAUGAAAUAGAGCUCAGGAAUGAGCAUUAAAUAGUACCUGAAAUCGUUAAGGUGGAACGGUUUAAGAAAGGAAGAAUAGUAAAGUGGGGGAAAUGAAUUCUUCGGAAUUUCAUUGCUUCUGCUUUAUUAUAGAAAGGAUUAUCAGUGAAUGGGGUAGCCGAAACGAAAUCAUAUAUGUUUUUUGUAUAUAUGAGGACAGCCACGCGGAGAAAUUUGUGAUGUCUGUGCCUUAAAAUUGUUGUAUCUAGAUUUUCGAAUCUAGGUGUACGCAACAUAACGGUUUGCUUGAUUUUCCUCAGGGGAGAAUUAUAUACUCUAUUUACUGAGGAAACAAUUAAAUAGUAAAAGAAUAAGUGGAAUGCUUUCUUUUACCUUUUACGAUAAUCCGAACAAUUUUGUUGUGAACUUUCUUAACCCACCCGUUUUGAGACACGGACCAAGGAGUCUACCAAAUAUGCGAGUGUAUAUGUUUACAGCUAAACAAAAGUUAUCACACUUUUAUACGCGACGGUAUAUAUAUAUAUAUAUAUAUAUAUGUAUGAGCUUUGUAGAAUGAGGGAGUCUAAUUAAUUUCUCCUGGGCAUACAAUACCGGAGACAGCUACGUAAUGUGCUGUACCGAGUAAGAGCAUAUUUGGUAGGACCCGAAAGGCUUUGAACUAAGUGUGGUGAGACUGAAGUCAGUCGAAAGUCUGAUGGAGGGUCGAAUUGACACCGAUGUAAAAAUCGUUCAUUUCAACUGCAUUUAGGGGUGAAGAAUCAUACGAAAAGCCUAAUAGCUGGUUAUUUUCGAAGGAUCUCUCACGAUCGCUGGAGUUUGCAGAAUAUGCAAUUGUUCAAUUGAGAAGGUGAGUAUUUUGUAGGCUUCUUGUAUGCAAAAGCGUAUACAAGAGCGCUACAAUAUAUAUACUUUUGGCAUGAGACCAAUGGAUCGUACCGGUUGCGGUGGUGUUACUUCGUUCACGGGGUAUUACUUCGUUCGCGGGGUGAUGCUCCGUUUGCGGAGUAACACUUUGAUUGCUGGGGCGAAUUCUCUCUCGAUUUUCCGAAAUGUACUAUAAGGAAAAUGUGAACAUAGUUUAAGAUAGAUACUAUGUUGUACGUCACUCCUAUAUAUGGCGCCUUCCGUGAAUUAAUGAAAACUCCAAGUGGACCAUUUCCGGUAAGCGGAAAUGGCUAUGAGGGCUCAGCCUAAUGCCUGGAUAAGGUGCCUAAAUGUUCGCUCAUUAGAUCCCAUAAAAGGUUAUGGUCCGUAAUCACAGCAGGACGGUGCUCAUAGAAGUCGAGAUCCGCUAAGGAGUGUGUAACAACUCACCUGCCUAGGGGACCUACCCUGAAAAUGGAUGGCGCUACAACGUAUUACCGAUACCAGGCCAUAAAAGGAACAGAAAAUAAUAUUUUCAUAUUGAAAUACUUUUAUGAGUAGAAAAUCGUGGGGUUUUGUGUCGAAGCGAAUACGUGAGUUUUCGUGGAACAUCUCCCUAGUGCAGAUCUUGGUGGAAGUAGCAAAUAUUCAAAUGAGAACUUUGAAGACUGAAGUGGAGAAGGGUUUUUUGUCAACUGUGUUUGUACAAAAGUUAGCCGCUCCUAAGAGGCAACCGAAGGGUUUUAAAGCGGCUGGGGAAAGGGAUUACGCAGUGUAUUGCAUAUAUUAUUAUGUGCAUACAUUGUGUAGUUCUUGCCCCCCUGGCCUACUCGAAAGGGAAACAGGUUAAUAUUCCUGUGCCAUACGAAUGGUAUAUAAAACGUAACGUUCAGUUCAGGGUUUUUUUGUAAAAAAAAACAGAAAGAUGGUAACAUAUAUAGCAAAUGAACUCCUUAACAUAGGUCUUACAUUCGAGUUGCGUUAUCUUUGCAAUUAACUUUACGGCAAACCUCGGAGUAUCAAUUUACUUGGAGAAGAGGUAUGCUGAACCUGCAUAAUAUCGGGGAAAUGAUUGCACAUGUGAAUCUGGGUUCUUGUGUGCAGUUUUUCCCUGACCCUUGUAGUAAUAGUAAUUCGUUUUUAUGAAUUAUUCGAAGCGUAAGGACUAUCCUUGAAAAAAGGAGGGAACAAGUAAAUUUUGAAAAUAUGGGAGGAAUUUCCUGUUCCAGCGGGGAAUUUUCUUCCUCUUUAUUUUCAUAUAUGCUGAAUACCAUUGUUGUGCGUACCGAAUAACCGCAUCAGGUCUCCAAGGUUAGCAGCCUCUGGUUAAAUAGAACAAUGUAAGUAAGGGAAGUAAGACAAAUUGGAUCCGUAACUUCGGGAUAAGGAUUGGCUCUGAUGACAUUAGAACAGGGAAGAAAUGAAAAUUGUAGAAAGGGAAGGUAGAGACGUAUCUUCGGAUUUACAUCUGUUGGUAUUUCUUUACUUUUCUUUUCUUCAGUUAUCUUUUUGUCCUCUGUUCGCCUUCAAUUAGGAUUGACGUUUCGGCGUUAGUCCCUUUUGAUAAUAAUGUUAACUCAGAACUGAAACGGACAAGAGGAAUUUGACUGUUUAAGACAUAGCACUGUGAGAGCCCUUAGCGGGUAUGUAUAUGUACGUAUAUACGUAUAAUGUAUAUAUGUUUAUGUGUAUGUACCCUUUUGGAGCACACUUGACGCAGUGUGAUAUCUGCCCAGUGCUUUUGAAUAACUAGAAUAGAUGUAAUUCAAUAAAUGCACAGGUAAAUGGCAGAAGUAGUUGCUACAGCUUCUAAUAUUAGCCAAGUGUUUCGUCAUUAUGCGUGCCCUCUGAUUCUUGCCACGGGUUUUUUGUAGUACUAUGAUUGGAUGGUGUUUGUGUUAGCUAGGUGUUCUAUCUGGCCCUCCAUAUGCCUAAUAUCGUAAUAUAUUAUUUUACCUAUGGUUGAGAUGACGGUUCGGUGCUUUUAAUAAUGAAGGUCACUUAGAGUAGAUAAACAAAAUUCCUGCUGUCCCUACUUGCAAUCUAGCGAAACCACAACCAAGGAAAAAUAGGCUUGGUUAAAUCAGUUGGGUCAUAGAAGACCCUAUUAAACUCGACUCCAGGUAGGCUCUGUAAAACGGCUUCCGAUUGUGUAGCAUAAGUGGGAGCGGAAUUCUGAAAAAUGUUUUCGCGCAAGUGAAAUACCACUCCAUCCAAAGUCCUUUUACUCAUCCUUUAGUGUGGGGAUCAAGGGAGCACGCAUAUACGCACGUACGUAUGUAUGUAUGUAUGCACGUAUGUACCUAUGUACGUAUGUGCGUAUGUGCGUAUAUGUGUGUUCUUCCCCUUAAUAGCAUUAUGUGGAGACACAGCCUAGUGGGGAGUUAAUUUACAGCGCCGCUAUAUUUGCUUUUCAUCUUUUAUUUCGAUAAACGGUGGAAGUCUAAUAUACGAAUGGAGUUAGCAGACUCAAAGAGAACAGAAAUCUCUUGUAGACUUUGCAAUAUAAGAAAUGUCUGUUAAGGUAGCACUCCCUCCUAUGGGGGAGUUGUAUGGCCUGUAAUUAUCACCUCCUUAUUCCUGCAAAAAAACGUCAUGUGCGUGCAAAUAAGGGGGGAUAGGAAAAGAGUUAUAAUAGGGAUAACUGGCUUGUGGCGGCCGAGCGUUUUAGCGACGUAGCUUUUUGAUCAUUUCGUAAUAUAUCAGCAUUUCCUAUCAUUGGGACGAAGAAGUCCCAAAGUGUCGGAUUGUUCACCCGCUAACAGGGAACGUGAGCUGAGUUUCGGGGCAGUCAUGAGACUUUGCCCAGUUUUUAACCUACUGAUGAAAAUUGUUAAUUCAAAAACGCAUUGAUACUGUGACGGUAAUCCAACUUGGUACGAGAGGAUAAGUUGGUUCAGACAUAUGGUACAGCAAUUGGUUGAAAAGCCAGCGUUGCGAAGCUACGUCUGUUGGAUAAUGGCUGAAUAUAUCUCAAGCCAGAAUCCAUGCCGAAUAAACAUUACUGUAGGCGUGUUCUGUACGACCUGGCUUUUUUAAAUGUUUAGCUGUAUAAGCAAACAGGAAAAAGAAUACAUGUACGUUUCCCUACUUUUGUAGGAUAACAGUAUAUUAGUAACCCAUCCGCCGAAGUAGCCCUCAAAGUUGGAGCAAGAAGGAGGUUUGCACUGCGUUCAGAGUGACGGGUAGCUAUCUAUGGUAGAAGCAGCUAUGUUCUAUUUUUUCCAAACUGUAGAGUGACAUCAAGUUUCCUUUUGCAGUAUGGUAGAAUGAGCGGUUUGUGGUGAUGCUCAUACUCUUCUGUAUUUCUUUUUAGAGGUACGGUUGAGGGAGUGAAACCACCGGGUUGCCCUUUUUUCCAUUUUUCAGCUGCUUGAGCUUAAGAUGCUUUGCGGGCCUCCUUUGCUUGUGAAGAUUGGGAGUAAUGCUUUUCACCAUAAUUUUUAAAGUACGGAACGCAAUUAGAAAAUGCCUGUAGACGACUGGAUAUACCCUAGGUGCUGUAAACAUGAAAGUAAACUUUGUUUUACGAUCUGUUGAGGCUUAUCCAAAGGUGUUUCAUUUUUU